rnacentral:rRNA from 1 species
CAGUCGCCACGGUAAUACGGAGGGAGCUAGCGUUGUUCGGAAUUACUGGGCGUAAAGCGCACGUAGGCGGUUAUUCAAGUCAGAGGUGAAAGCCCGGGGCUCAACCCCGGAACUGCCUUUGAAACUAGAUGACUGGAAUCUUGGAGAGGUCAGUGGAAUUCCGAGUGUAGAGGUGAAAUUCGUAGAUAUUCGGAAGAACACCAGUGGCGAAGGCGACUGACUGGACAAGUAUUGACGCUGAGGUGCGAAAGCGUGGGGAGCAAACAGGAUUAGAUACCCGUGUAGUCCCUGUCUCUUAUAC